GUAGAUUCUAAUAGCAUAGAGGGUAGGGAUCUGCCCAGCUCUUGCUUUGUUUAAGGCAUAUUCUAAAUGUAAAGGUUCGGUGUGUCUUUUACCUGGGAACUAAAUGGUCAAAGGCAGGGAAGAAACCCGGGUCGGGAUUGAAAAAUUCCUACAACACUAACUAGGACAGACAAGACGAUUGAGAUAGUUUAAUCUUAUGUUCAUAGGUUCCUGUAGAGAGCGUUCUGGGUUUGGACCACAUGGAUCAAGUGAUGGAGGAAGAGAAGGGAACGUCACACGGAUCAACCUCCCUGUUAUCGCACUCCAAUGUCUUGCAGCCUCGAGCCUACCUGUUUAUAAGGAGAUAGAAAGGUGCAGAACAAGUCCAGGAAGAUGGCCGUGUACCCGCAUACAGAGGCUGAGCCCAGGGCAUUCAUAGCAUCUUUUCAAAGGCCCAGGAAAAACUCCAAAAGGGUGAUGAAACAAGGGGAGGGUGUCCGUGACUGUUCCUGAGUGUGUCAGAGAUGGACUCACAGAAUACUUGAGGUGAGCAAGAGGAACUGACCGAUGGAGAAGGUGCAUGAUAUAACUCCAGAUAGCAGGGCGGACAGCAUGUGCGGAAGCAGGAGGCUUCGGGAGAUAAUUGGGAAAACGUUUUAAAGAAACCAUUGAAAAAUUACUGAACUCUUUGGCAUCCCCAAAGCACUCAAUUAUUCAGAAGUCUGUUCCUCACCACCAUUUCUGCUCCAAAACCAAGUGCCUGCUCUAACCUCCGUCCUUUACUGAGAUGAUGUGACAUCUGUAGUAUUCGAAGAAGUCACAGCAGAAGGAAAAAGCUGUGGAAUCGAAUCAUACAUCAUACGGGGAUGAAAAUGGUUGCCAUUGGCCGAGAGAAACAGGAAAUCAUCGUCUGUGAGGAAGCCAGACCGUUUCAACCACAGACAGCAGAAAGGUUCUGAAGGAGGUUUUCUGAACCGGGUUUGCCUUGUGCGGAAGAUUUCAAAGCGUUUCCAUCAGCCUCGUUCUGGCGAGGUGGAGAAAAGAACGAAUGUUUGAAAAGGAAAACACUUCGGUCAACCAGGCAGGAAGAAAAUGAGUAGCUGGUGAGGGAAUGCAUGAUGCGGCCAUAGCAGGGGGCGCUCUUGGUCACGGGGAAAUAAGCAGGUAGCACAGAGAGAGUCAGCGGAGAGCUGGGUGAGAUGGGAGCUAGGGCACAGAAAGACUGUUCAGGCAGCCGAGCUUGGAGACAAGGAGCCAGACAUAAUGCUAUGGUCUUUCAGCUCAGAAAAUGCUGAAGGUGGCUUGGAUGAGAUAUCGGGGAAAGGAAGUGAAGUUGCGGAAAAGUCAUUUGUUUCUGUCUUACGUUUCUCUUCUUCUAAAUUUUCAUGCCAUUUUAGUUUUGUGCAAAAAUUCAAACCAAACCGAAACAAACAAAUAAACUGCCCCCUCCCUUCCCCAAAUGCCAGCAAACGGGAGCUGUAUUUUCUCACCUGUGUUUUAUAGUGGAUAGUUGUUGGAGAGGUUUCGCUCUGUUUGACCCAAGCUCUCAAAAGACAGCUCUUACUGGGACAGAUGUUCCAAUGUGGUGUUUCUGUAUUUUACAUGGGAUCUGAAAAGCAUGCACCACUUCAGAGUGAUUUAGGAGUAAGUCUGUACAUUUUUCUGUUUAGCAAACUCGAAUGGCUUCCCAGGGAAUACAUUCUGUUCUUCCAACAUCUUUCCCUGAGUCCCUGAACAGAUUAGCACGCGUCUCCCACAUUGUCAUCAGAGAGAGCACAAGGGAGUGAUUGGGCAUAGGGCAUGGUAAUUUUACACUUGAGACAGGGAUGCACAAGAUCUGAAGUUUCUAAACUCCUGGAAGACUCUUGGGUACAAGGUAUCUUUUGUGUUCCUGCAAAAACUAACACAAUAUACAGAGUAAUCCCUGUAGAUGAUGAGGCCUGCAGACGCUGUACCUAGAGGCUCUUCUGUUUAGCGCUGGGAAAUACUUUCAUACUGUGUUCUCAGUGCCCAGUCCCACACUUGUAACCCAUAAUAAUUUCAAAGACAGCUUUGGUUAAUAUUCAAUAGGCCCCAAACAGGGAAACGUAAACAUAUUUCUCUUACAUCUUAACAAUUUCCCCCCAUGUUUAAUCUCACGGGGUCCCUUCCUCUUCUUUUCCACCUUUGCUGCUACUGCCCACCACUCCCUCUGGAGCGCAUACACGUUCGAGCCGCACAGAGUGACAGCUUGAGGGAGAUCUCUGAUGGUGCCAUCCAGAUGUACAAGCUGACAGAUCUCAUUCGUUGAGGGAAGAAGCAUCAGGAGUGCCGUUGAUGCUUUUAAAGGUCAUUUAAAUAGGGAAAUCUUUAACUUGUAUACUUUGCAUUGAGAUAAGCCAAGAAAAACAAGUUAUCCAAUUUGACAUUUUUGAAAUAAUAAUAAUAAAACUAGAAAAAAACCCUAAUAGUGUACUAUAGUUUGACCAUUACGUACAGUUAAAGCAGUCCCUUUUGGUAAAGUUCCCUCCUUCUCUAUCCAAAGAGUAUGGUCACCUGUUCUGUGCUGGAAGGAGUUUCUGACUGUAGAAAGGGCCUUGGAGGUUUCUGUAGCAUCCUCAGCCCAUCCCUUGCCUGUUUGGUCCUGAGACAGUGUCCCUUGUCCUGCCAAUGGUUCUUGUCUUAGUUGAACUGGUCUGUUCUGAAUGGUCAGGUCCUGGAAACUCUCCAUGUAUGACUAGGUCUCCUUGCAAGCCUCAGGCACCUUGUGGCCAGAUUCACAAGCUCCUUAGUCAUUGGAGCCUCUUCAGGAAAAAAGGGGAUGUUUUGGGGAGACUAGGCUUCAUCUCCACCCCUUCAGGACCAAGAGUGACCACUACCAUCUGCCUGGAUGUCAUGUUAUUAGCUUUCUGUGGUGAAGUGAUGGGCGGGUAUAGGCUGCCUUUCCGUAGUGAUUAGGCAUCACAGGGAAGAAGAUUGUUAUUUCUCAGUAUAGACUCGGACUCUGUACUCCUUAUUCCUCAUGUCACAUGUAGGGUAACUGUAUGCUUUAAUGUGUCAUCUUUGAAAACUCUGAGACUAGAAAGGACCUCUA
rnacentral:sRNA from 1 species